GGGUGUAUGAUGCAAAUGUUUUAGUUGGUACAAAUCAUGAUUUGUAUAAUCGAACCUGAAAGAUCAAGAAAUUAGGCUGAUUGCAGUUGACCAUAUUAAUUUUCAUACUGUCAUACUAGAACGGCCAUAACUUCCUCAUCUGAUGUCAGAAUCGCUAUUAUAACCCCAUUUCGAAAAGCACUUUUUGUACUCUAUGGGUCGACCACUUUGCCAUCACAUCCAAUUUCAGAACUGAAUUUUAUUGUUUG
rnacentral:lncRNA from 1 species